rnacentral:rRNA from 1 species
GAUGAACGCUAGCGGCAGGCCUAAUACGUGCAAUUCGAACGGUGUAGCAAUACACAGUGGCGCACGGGUGCGUAACACGUAUGCAACCUAACUUACAUUGGGGGAUAGCCUUUCGAAAGGGAGAUUCAUACCGCAUAAGAUAGUAACUAGGCAUCUAGUAGCUGUUAAAGAUUUAUCGAUGCAAGCUGGGCAUGCGUCCAAUUAGUUAGUUGGCGAGGUAAUGGCUCACCAAGACGAUGAUUGGUAGGGGAACUGAGAGGUCAAUCUCCCCCACUGGCACUGAGAUAGGGGCCAGACUUCUACGGGAGGCAGCAGUAGGGAAUAUUGGGCAAUGGGCGCAAGCCUGACCCAGCCAUGCCGCGUGCAGGAAGAAGGCGUUAUGCGUUGUAAACUGCUUUUAUACAGGAAGAAACGACCCUUGCGAGGGGCAUUGAUGGUACUGUAUGAAUAAGCACCGGCUAACUCCGUGCCAGCCGCCGCGGUAAUAC